rnacentral:lncRNA from 1 species
UUAGAUGGCGCUGGCUUCCACUGCGCCCCACGUGGAAGGCCAAGUCAGUCAAGAUGGCGCCAGCCUUCGCUGCGCCAGCUGGCCCCCCUAUCAGGAAGUUAACUGCGCAUGUGCAAGAGUGCCUUCCUGCCAGGUCUUUGCCCAUUCCGGGGCGUGCCUGAUGAGAUCAUGAGUAAGCAACCAAUCAGGUGUGGAUGCGUGCUCGAGGGUUAAAUAGGCGCGCCUGGCUGGCGCGCAGGGCUUCUCCAUGAGAUAGGAAUAAAGUAUCACUCAUAGCAAGAAUUUCUAUGUCUCGCGUGCUUCUUGCCGGCGGAAAGUCGCGCGCGGGACAUUUGGUGCCGAGAAACCGGGACAAAAACAUCGCCGGCGCUACGAGAGGCCUCCGUUUCACGGAAGAAAUUCAGAAGCUAUGGAAUACAGGUAAAAAACUCUGAGAG